AUGACAGAUUUAGGUCUUGUUCAUCACUUUUUAGGUAUUGUUGUUAUCCGUGACUCUUCUGGUCUUUUCUUGUCUCAACGGCAGUACACUCUGGAUCUUCUUUCUCGUGCUGGUAUGCUUGAUUGUCAAACUUCUCAUACCCUGUUGAUACAGGUUCCAAACUCUCUGCCGACGGUGAUCCUUUCUCUGAUCCUUCUCUUUAUCAUAGUCUUACCGGUGCACUUCGGUAUCUCACUCUCACUCGCCCUAAAAUUUCUUUUGUUGUUCAACAAGCUUGUUUAUACAUGCAUGAUCCUCGUGUUUCACACUACAAUCAUGUCAAACGUAUUCUUCGAUAUCUCAAAGGCACACUAA
rnacentral:rRNA from 1 species